GACGAACGCUGGCGGCGUGCCUAAUACAUGCAAGUCGAGCGGAGUUUAUCCUUCGGGAUAAGCUUAGCGGCGGACGGGUGAGUAACACGUAGGCAACCUGCCCUCAAGACUGGGAUAACUACCGGAAACGGUAGCUAAUACCGGAUAAUUUCUUUCCUCUCCUGAAGAGAGAAUGAAAGGCGGAGCAAUCUGCCACUUGGGGAUGGGCCUGCGGCGCAUUAGCUAGUUGGUGGGGUAACGGCUCACCAAGGCGACGAUCCGUAACUGGUCUGAGA
rnacentral:rRNA from 1 species